rnacentral:rRNA from 1 species
GAUUUCUUAAAUAUUUUUAUUUUUAAAAUUUUUUCUAAAUAUUUAAGGGGAGUGAUACGCUUUCGUUUCUUAAGUUAACUAGUUUAUGUUUGAAAAAGGGAAACCCUUUUAAAUUUUUAUAUUAAAGGUUGAUUCAUUUUUUCUUUAAUAGUAAGUGGUUGUGUAAUAAAAUGAGUUGAAAAGGUAAAAAAUUUAUUUGUUUUAUCAUAUAAAAAAUUAAUUAAUAGAUUAGUAGAAUUUUUUUAAAAAUUAUUUUUAUUCUUUUUGUUUUUAUUUAGAAGUUAAAAAUUAUUAUUAUGUACUGAUUUUUUCUUAGACUGGUUAAUAAAAUCUUAGCUAUAGUAUUUAUAGUUAUUUCUGCUCUAUGCAAAUUAUAAGUAAAUGGCUGUUUAUAACACUAAGGUAGCAAAAUCAUUAGUUAUUUAAUUGGUAACUUGUAUGAAUGAAUUUUCUAAGAAGAUAUUAAUUUUGUUUUUGAAUUUAUAAGUUUGUUGAAAAUAACAAUUUUACCUAUAAGACUAAAAGACCCUAAAAUUUUUAUGACAAAAGGUCAUUUGGUUGGGGCAAUAGAGAAAAUACAAUAUUAGAUAAUUUAUUUUUCUUUGAACUUUUUUUAUUGAUAAAAGGUAAAAUACUUUAGGGAUAACAGCUUAAUUAUUUUUUAGAGUUCUUAUUAUUAAAAUAGUUUUAGACCUCGAUGUUGGAUUGGAAUAACUUUUUGGGGCAG